rnacentral:rRNA from 1 species
GACGAACGCUGGCGGCGUGCUUAACACAUGCAAGUCGAACGGAAAGGCCCUGCUUUUGUGGGGUGCUCGAGUGGCGAACGGGUGAGUAACACGUGAGUAACCUGCCCUUGACUUUGGGAUAACUUCAGGAAACUGGGGCUAAUACCGGAUAGGAGCUCCUGCUGCAUGGUGGGGGUUGGAAAGUUUCGGCGGUUGGGGAUGGACUCGCGGCUUAUCGGCUUGUUGGUGGGGUAGUGGCUUACCAAGGCUUUGACGGGUAGCCGGCCUGAGAGGGUGACCGGCCACAUUGGGACUGCGAUACGGCCCAGACUCCUACGGGAGGCAGCAGUGGGGAAUAUUGCACAAUGGGCGGAAGCCUGAUGCAGCAACGCCGCGUGCGGGAUGACGGCCUUCGGGUUGUAAACCGCUUUCGCCUGUGACGAAGCGUGAGUGACGGUAAUGGGUAAAGAAGCACCGGCUAACUACGUG